UUUUGGACAAUGGGCGCAAGCCUGAUCCAGCCAUUCCGCGUGAGUGAAGAAGGCCUUCGGGUUGUAAAGCUCUUUCGCAAGGGCAGCCCAGAUUACUCUCUAAUAUAGAGUGAUUAUGACGGUACCUUGAUAAGAAGCACCGGCUAACUACGUGCCAGCAGCCGCGGUAAUACGUAGGGUGCGAGCGUUAAUCGGAAUUACUGGGCGUAAAGCGUGCGCAGGCGGUUUUGUAAGUCUGAUGUGAAAUCCCCGAGCUCAACUUGGGAACUGCGUUUGAAACUACAAGACUAGAAUAGGUCAGAGGGGGGUAGAAUUCCACGUGUAGCAGUGAAAUGCGUAGAGAUGUGGAGGAAUAUCAAUGGCGAAGGCAGCCCCCUGGGAUCAUAUUACGCUCAUGCACGAAA
rnacentral:rRNA from 1 species